GACGAACCGUGCGAACGUUAUUCGGAAUCACUGGGCUUAAAAGCGCGUGUAGGCGGGAGGGCACGUCCGGCGCUGAAAUCCCCCCCGGCUCAACCGGGGGAACGGGGCGCGGAUACGACCUUCCUCGAGGGACGUAGGGGGGACCUGGAACUUCCGGUGGAGCGGUGAAAUGCGUUGAGAUCGGAAGGAACGCCCGUGGCGAAAGCGAGGUCCUGGACGUCUGCUGACGCUGAGACGCGAAAGCCAGGGGACGCGAACGGG
rnacentral:rRNA from 1 species